UCUGUGUUUUAAACCACAAAGUCCAUCUAAUUUCACCUGCUUUAACACCAUUCUAAUUUGUCUGAUCUCUUUUAGGUUUGGAUUAAAAAGUGUUGCUGGACUUGGUUGAUUAAAAAUAACUGAAGUCAGAGAGAAUUGUGGGAACCUCUGAGGCACAGGGGAUCUGAAGGGGGCAGGACAAAGGUUUUGUUUCAGAAAUACAGAAGCUGCUUCUGACCUAAUUGAUCUAAACUGCUUUUCUUCAGGAAACACUACAAAAUAUCUUCUUUUCAAGGCAAAUGAAUUUGGAGACUGGUGAGAGAGAGAAAGGGUGGCUGUGGUAGAGGAAAUAUUUUUAUCCAGGCCUCAGGAAACGGUGGUCUGGCUGCAGUGGUGUGGAUGGUUACAUGAAGAGAAUUCGAGCAGGGCAAAGCCUGCCGUCACUUAAUGUCUGCCCCCAAACUCCUGGACUGCGAGAACUAAUGUCAAUAUCCACCUGGAAAUAACCAGCGAGGAAACUGCUACCCUAAAACAACCCUUCAAGCUCAAGUGAGGUUUCAGGGACCACACAGGCUGCUCCCCAAAUUGCAACAAAGGUGUGGGAUUUUCUUUUCCUCAAACUGCAGCUAUUGUUAUCUACCCUAUUAUUAAGAAGUUUAAGAAAUGUAACAUCAAUGACUUCCUUUUCAUCUUUGUGGAGUGGAGCAUUUGACAGUAAGUUAAAAUCCUAAAUAAAAUAUGAAAGCUGCCAGCACAUGCCAAAAGUCUCUCGGAGAGCAUAUAUGAAAAGUUGCUCCUAAGACGCAAAUGCCACUAAUACCAUAUGAAAAUUGCAAAAAGGUAUAUGAAAG
rnacentral:lncRNA from 1 species